UGGAGAGGUGGCAGAGCGGUUGAAUGCGGUAGACUCGAAAUCUACUUUAGGGCGACCUAACGUGGGUUCAAAUCCCACCCUCUCCGU
rnacentral:tRNA from 1 species